rnacentral:misc_RNA from 1 species
AAGUCGUAACAAGGUUUCCGUAGGUGAACCUGCGGAAGGAUCAUCAUUGAAUCUAUUCUUAUUAACCCUUGUGAACUGUAUGUGUAAGAGCGAGUUGGUAGGAAGGCUUGGAGUUGGAGGCUCGGCCUACAACUUUGCGGCCGCGUCCUGUCUCAAGCGCAUCGCGCUCGUCCCAGGUGCCUGCCAGCCUGCUCGCAUUUUAACAAACUUUUAAAACAACUACUGAUAAAAUUUGUUUAAUAAAAACAACUUUCAACAAUGGAUCUCUUGGUUCUC